rnacentral:rRNA from 1 species
GAUGAACGCUGGCGGCGUGCCUAAUACAUGCAAGUCGAGCGAACAGAUGAGGAGCUUGCUCCUCUGACGUUAGCGGCGGACGGGUGAGUAACACGUGGAUAACCUACCUAUAAAACUGGGAUAACUUCGGGAAACCGGAGCUAAUACCGGAUAAUAUAUUGAACCGCAUGGUUCAAUAGUGAAAGACGGUUUUGCUGUAACUUAUAGAUGGAUCCCCGCCGCUUUAGCUAGUUGGUAAGGUAACGGCUUACCAAGGGAACGAUGCGUAGCCGACCUGAGGGGGUGAUCGGCCGCACGGGAACGGGAACACGGUCCGGACUCCUACGGGAGGCAGCAGUAGGGAAUCUUCGGCAAUGGGGGAAAGCCUGACGGAGCAACGCCGCGUGGGUGAUGAAGGUCUUCGGAUCGUAAAACUCGGUUAUUGGGGAAAAACAGAUGUGGAAGGAACUGUGCACGUCUUGACGGUACCUGAUCAGAAAGCCACGGCUAACUACGUG